AGCAGCAGGGGAUGGGAGCCAGUGCAUGUUGCUCAAGUAUGUACGUAUCCUCCUGUAAUUACAUGGAUCAAGUUUUAAUUAGCCCAUGAUUGAAAAAUGAGAAUAUGAUAUUAAUGAGGGAAAAAUACAUAAAGUAGCAUACUUAAGUAUUAAAUUACAAAAAAUAGCAACACUUUUAUCAAACUACAUUUUGUAGCAUAUGUAUUUGUAUUUUUGUAGCAACAGUUUACAAAAUACAAAAUCAUAUGUAUUUGUAUUUUUGUAGCAAAAGUUUGCAAAAAUACAAAAUGCAAUUUGCUAUAUUAUGUAAUUAUGAAACUCAUAAUGAAGGAGAUAAGUAUGCUAUUUUUGAAUUUUGCUAUUGUAGUUUCCGGAAUUUAGUUUAUUUGAUAGCAAAGAUGUCUAUUUACAUGAUAAAUCUAAGUCCUCAAAAUUUUCAUAUUUCCAUAGAUCAUUACCAUCGUCUAUAAUCAACAUUUGAUAAAAAAAUACCCCUCUACUUUAAUUUUUUGUCUAAAUUUGCCCCUACUCAUAUUAUGGGGCUGUUAGCAAAGUUAACAAAAAUACCCCUCCAUUUAACACCUCUCCACCAUGGCAAUUUAAAACUCCACAUGGUUAAACAUUUGGGUGAGGUGGACGUCAUGUGGCACACCACCUCACCACCAGGUGUUUUUUUUUCUUUUUUUUUUUUCCUUUGCUCUUUUUUUGGGUUUUCCAUCCGGUGUUCGAUGUCCAUAUUGAAGCCCUGAUUAAUCCAGAUCGCGCGUUGUAUGACCCAUUUUGGGGGUAAUGCUCCCAACAGGAUUUUCUCCAUAUCCAGGGCUUGAACUCGAAACUUUUGAUUAAUGGUGGAGCAAUCUCACCACUGCACCAAAAUUCAUUAUCUCAAAAUAAAUUCAACUUCAUAGCCUUCUUUUUAUUUCUAUCCUCAAAUCAAAAAAGUCCCCCAUUUUAUCUCUUUUUUUGUAGAUAUGUUACGGUAUUUGUAACAGAUUUCUUUGAAGAAGUGAAUAAUUGUGUCAGUAGUUUCUUUAAUCGAGUAAUUGUCUUCAUUUGUGUUAAUUAAUUUGCUUAAUUGAUAUCAUUUUCCUUAAUUUUGGCUAGUUGUUAUCCAAUUUUUGCCAUUAGCAGCUCAGAAAAUUUAGUGUAAUUUGCAGUGGUGGAUAUUGUUUCAUGGGGUUUUCUGCAAGUUCCAUGAGGACUAUUUUUGUUGUUAACAAUUGUAUUUUUUUUAAGUGACAUUCAGGUGGACGUAGGCGAAGAAUUGAUAUUUUAAAUUAUUUUUUAUUCAAAUCGAGUUUGGCCAAAAGAGAAAAAGGAUGGAAAUUUCAUUUAAAAAUCAGCAUGUGCAUUAUUGACAUAUCUAUAUUCUAUAUAUCUAUAUAUUAGAAGAGGUGCCUUCUAACAUGGCUGCUUAAUGUGAUUAGAGAAAAGAUUAAGGGCAUUAUGGUCUUUAAAAAAUUUUGCAAGAUAAGGCCGGGAAAGUAGAGUUGUCUCUGUGUUUUCUUAUUUGCACUUCAACAACAAUUUCAAGAAAAAAUCAAUCUUUCUCACUAAAUUACAAAUAAUUUCCUAAUACCAUUUUUAUUAAAUUACGGAUCAUACCCGUAUAAAAUAUCAAUGAAUGCAAACUUAUAGAAGAGUUGCCUUUAACAUGGCAGCUUAAUGUGAUUAGAAAAAAGAUUGAGGGUAUUAUGGUCUUUAAAAACUUUUACAAGAUAAGGCUUACAAAGUAGAAUUGUUCUUUGUGUUUCCUUAUUCGGACUUCAGCAACAAUUUCAAGAAAAAAUUAGUCUUUCUCAUUAAAUUACAAAUAAUGUCCUAAUAAAAUGUCCAUCCUUUCUCAUUAAAUUACAAAUGCUACCCAUAGAAUAUCAAUAAUGCAGUGGGGCCCAUUAAACUUUUAGAAGAACUGCCUUCAACACAGCAACUUAAUGUGAUUAGAGAAAAGAUUGAGGGUAUUAUGGUCUUUAAAAAAGUUUACAAGAUAAGGCUGGCAAAGUAUAGUUGUUCUUUGUGAUUCCUUAUGUGGACCGUAGCAGCAAUUUCAAGAAAAAAUGAGUCUUUCUCAUUAAAUUACAAAUAAUGUCCUAAUAAAAUGUCCAUCCUUUUCCCAUUAAGGGAAAAUCACAUAAAUAUACAUUUUUAGAGUCUAUAUUACAAAAUCUAUCAAUAUUAUUUUUUAUUUAUAAAAUAUAAUUUUUAUUUACAAAAUCUAUCAAUUAUUCAAUUUUUAUUUUUUUUUCUAUAAAAAAAAAUUCAAUUAAAAGCACUGCUAUUUAUGUGAUUUUCCCAUAUAAUCAACUCACAACCAAACUCAAAUAUGAAAUCCUACUUUUAUUUUUCAUAGUUGAUGCAGCGAUUUCGAAACUUUGGGGAUUUCGAUGAUUUUUGAAGUUGUCAAUAAUGGUUGAACUUCUUAUUUUUCGGGAAGUUUGGGUGUGCGUUUUUUUGUGGACUUUAAGGAGGUUAUUUUGGGUUGUCGGUUUUGAGCUUAUUGAUGACUUUGUGAUUUUUGGCGAAGAUGCCGUGAAGCUGGUGACAAAGGGAAGAGGAAGAAGACGACAUGUGAAGCUGCGUUAAGUUAGAAUAAAUUUUGAUCUCAUUUUUCUGUUUGUGUGUAUAUCUAUGUGCGAAGAGGCUUUUCUACGUCAAGAAGGCUUUGUUCUACCAUUUUCAAUUGAUAAGUUGGUGAAUUUCCAUUCUUAAGUUCAUAUUGCCGUUGAUGUGUGAUUUUGUGAUUUAUGGCGAAGAUGCCAUUAAGCCGGCAGUAAAGGAAAGAGGAAGAAGACGACAUGUGAAGCAAUGUUAAAUUGGAAUAUAAAUUUCGAUAGUUUCGACGAGUUUCGAGAAUUGUCCCAUGACAUCGACAGAGAAGGCUAUCAAUGAUUUUCUGGUGCAUGAAUUGUAUAGAAAUUGAUGUAUUUAUAAUUUUAUGGUCCAUGGAUUGUAUAGAAAUUGGUGUAUCAACAGUUUUAUGAUAUCUGAAAUAGUUUUAUGGUG
rnacentral:lncRNA from 1 species